rnacentral:pre_miRNA from 1 species
UCUUAUGCAUGAGCAAAGAAUGUGGUUUCUUGAAAUGGAAUCUACUCUUGAUGAAGAUGCUAUGAA